rnacentral:rRNA from 1 species
UUGGCCUCAAAUCAGGUAGGACUACCCGCUGAACUUAAGCAUAUCAAUAAGCGGAGGAAAAGAAACUAACAAGGAUUCCCCUAGUAACUGCGAGUGAAGAGGGAAAAGCUCAAAUUUAAAAUCUGGCAGCCUAAGUUUAACGGUUGUCCGAGUUGUAAUCUAGAGAAGUGCUUUCCGUGCUGGACCGUGUACAAGUCUCUUGGAAUAGAACAUCAUAGAGGGUGAGAAUCCCGUCUUUGACACGGACUACCAGUGCUUAUGUGAUGCGCUCUCAAAGAGUCGAGUUGUUUGGGAAUGCAGCUCAAAAUGGGUGGUAAAUUCCAUCUAAAGCUAAAUAUUGGCGAGAGACCGAUAGCGAACAAGUACCGUGAGGGAAAGAUGAAAAGGACUUUGGAAAGAGAGUUAAACAGUACGUGAAAUUGUUGAAAGGGAAACGCUUGAAGUCAGUCACGUUGAUCGGAAGUCAAACCCGUAACAGGGCGAAAUUUCAGGUUUU